rnacentral:rRNA from 1 species
UACGUAGGCAGCAAGCGUUGUUCGGAAUUACUGGGCGUAAAGAGUGUGUAGGCGGUGUUCUAAGUCUGUCGUGAAAUCUCCCGGCUUAACUGGGAGGGUGCGGCGGAAACUGGAAUGCUAGAGGGUGGGAGAGGAAAGCGGAAUUCCUGGUGUAGCGGUGAAAUGCGUAGAUAUCAGGAGGAACACCUGUGGUGUAGACAGCUUACUGGACCAUUUCUGACGCUGAGACACGAAAGCGUGGGUAGCAAACAGG